rnacentral:sRNA from 1 species
UUUGAGAGACUGCCAGUUUUGUUCGCAUUGUCGAACACAACACUAAACAAAUCACAUCAGAAAAAUUCAGAAAAAAAAGAAAAAAACAAUUUUCAAAUUUCAAUGGUCGAAAUUUGGAGGCCUUACCAGUGACGCUGGCCCAUACGAUGGCCGUGACGUCACUCCAACUUCAAGAAUUCAGCAGCCAUCUCCAACGAUGAGGCCAGCCGCUACAACGACACUGGCCAACGAGCCAAAGCCAAUACCAUCGACAAUGCAUCCUGGGUGGCCGGACCAACAGCCACUCGGAUGCAGCCAAUUCCAAUUAAUAGGAAACCUAAAGGAAACCUACUUAAAUUAUAAUGACUUAAUGGUUCUGCUAAAUCUGCCUUUCCGUCUCUACGACCGUGGCAGACGAGCGUAAUGGAAACGGAAGGAGGACGAAGGACGAAGCCGCAUAGAAGAAACGCCUGAGCCAUUGUUUCUUUUAUUAUUUUUUUUCCACAUUUUGCUUUUUUAAAAAAAAUCCACUUUGUUCUUAAUCUCCAGUAAAAAGAAUUCCGAAAUAA